rnacentral:lncRNA from 1 species
CGCCCCGCCGCGGGUUGCGCUCAGGAGGGCGGCGGGGCCCUCCCGGCCCGGGGAUGUGGUGUGUCCCGCCCCGGCCGCGCUGCCAUAGGCUGAACUCGCCCCGCGCCCGGCCCCGCGCCCCGGGGCUGCCGCCGGAGUGGCGGAGCGCGGCGUCACUUGCGCUGCCCCGGGGAGGCGGGGAGCGGGGCCGGGCGGCGGGGAGGCGUCGCGCCGAGUGCCGCCCGGAGUUCGGCCGCCGCCGGGAGGAGCCGGGUGCCGCCGCGAUCCAUAGGUGCAGGUGUCCUCAGCAGAGCUAAACCCACAGGCAGUCAUCGCCUUAAGGAUCUGAGAGUCCAACAGCCAGCCUUAGUGGUGGACUUAUUCAAGUGAUAUCUGGUCCAUGGCAUCCUCAGCUUCACCACGGCACACCAAAGCACAGCACCGCUCUCAGGCAAGAAGAAAGCCUUCUGAUUGACUACUUGCAGUUAACCGUUGACUGUUGGAGUACUUCUGUCACUGCCAGUGGAUGUAAGAACCCACCUGUUACAGCAGUGGUAACCAAAUACUGCUCUUGCUAUGUUCUUUGCUUGGAAGGGAAAUCUGUCUUGAGCUCUACUGCCAGGUAAGCGUGUGUCAUUUCCACUUUUGUUUCACUUUGCUGCUUCUCGUUUAUUUUUCACCAGAUCCCACAGGGGAUGUGGGGCCUUGGGGAGGUGUGGUGCAGAAUCAGGCCUGCAGGUUGCAAACAUGUCAUGCCCAUGGCUGGUACAAGACCAGCUGAGAGCUGAGAAGGGUGAAUCCCGGUGCCAUGGGCAGCAGUGGCCAGCCCUGCCUAUGGAGGAAGGAAUGAACUUGAUACCUUUCUCCUUCCAAGGGCUUUCAGAGCCCUGUUUUCUGAGUGUCAGACAGCACAGGGCUUCCUCUCCUGUAGCUUGGUUUAUGCCUUUCACUUCUUUCUUUUUUCAGUGCUCCUCUUGUUCGGUAUGAAUAUUCAAAGUUUGAUCUGUUUUGGUUGGGUUUUUUUUUUUUUUUUUUUUUUUGAUGUGUAGAUGUAUCUUCAUUAAAGAUUCAUGUUCUUGUCUCUUUUUCAUCUAUUUUGAGGUGAUGUAUCUGAUGUAGCCCUCUAUUUGCUAUAAAGAAUAGAUUUUUUCAUAUGGUUACAAUCCUCAUCCUCCCUGUCUCGUUUGAGACUGAUUUGACUAAACUGAAGCUAUUUUAAUCUCCCUGUCCCAAAAUAGAAGCCAUUCCAUUUGUGCUGUAGAAAAUGGCUGCGUGAUGUUCUUUGCCUGCUUUGAGCAAAACCUUCUGGCUCCUUCUUUAAUCUUUCAGAGGCGCUUCCUCCCAUUUUGUCCAAUAAUCAGGGAUCUCCACUUUUUGGAGCAGCGGUUUUGGGAGAUGGGCAUCACCAAUGCACUGUCCAAUGGAGAGAUGGCCCCGUGCUUCCCAGAGCGCGUGGUUUCACCUCUCUUUACAUCUUUAUGUUCGUUACUGACAUUGGUGCUUGGAUCCCCCAAAUCUCCUCAGUCAGUGGACGUGGCACAGGUGUCCCCGUGCUGGAUGCCCUGCCUUGGCCCAAGCAUCACAGCCCCAUGCAGCAGGUGCCCUGCCAAGAGCCACCCCUGCCGAAAGGAGCUGCUGUAAUUAAAGCCCAUCAUUCCUGUUGCUGUGGCAACGCAGCACUCCACAAACACAGGUUCGUUUUCCCAAAUGCUCCUUUUUUCGCCAGCUUUGAGCAAGGCUCUGUCGGUGGGGAUGCUGUGCCAGCACCUGGCGUGGUGCAGGCACUUGGGCUGUGCAGGCAUCGCCUCGGUUGAACAGAAAGACACACAAAGAGGAGACAAAUGUGUCAGCAGACGAUUGUACUGUAAGCCCAGCACUGCCUGAUGGUGCUUCAGUUUUCUUCAGCCACAACUGGAUUUAGUUUGAUUAUAAAAAUUCUGGUCAUUCUGUGGAAUGACUUCAAAAAUGUAGAAAACAUAAUCAGGAUUCAGUGAAAGUGUUUCUGGUGCAUUAAGAGAAAUCCCUUCAAGUCUAAUUCCUGUACUCAUCCCAUCUCCCUCUGUUUUCCUGACUUUGAGCUACCAGAUGUCAUCUUUUGACGUUACGACAUUCGGUUUUGUUUGUGUGUUCAAAAGAGUAGGAGUCAAGCAGGAUUACUUUCUCACAGUCUUGCACUGGAGUCGAGUUGGCUUUUUGUAUUGGACAGCAGCAGAGCCCUUAGACAUCUGGAUAAUUAACAUGGAUGUUAUGCAGUCGACACAAGUUGCUGGUUCUGCUCCGCUUGUUUGCUGUAUGGCUUUAAUCUUAAAACACAGAUUGUAUCUAAUGAGCUAGGUUACGCUUUUUGGGAGAUGUGGCAUAACACUUUUCCCCUCCAAGACUGCCUGCCAGAUAUUUAUUCUCACCAUGUUUUUUAUUGCCGAGUUUCUGCUAUCUUAUGUUAGUCCACUCAAACUGUGGUCUGCUUUGAAAACAGUUCUGAAUCAUCAGUAUGAUGCUGUAAUUCCCAUGGAGGAUACUGGACUGGGAACAAAGGACUAAUUUUUCCUGUUAUGAUGUGGUUUAAAGCCAUGAAUGUGACCACUGUCUAGUUUCCCUCUCCCGUGGCUUGUGUUUAUCUACUCCUGGCUGCUAAGGGAUGCUCUUUACAGCUAUAGCAUUUGAGCAAGGGGAAUUUACAAAACAUGAGAUCUUUUCCAGCUUGGGUGCCUUAGAAGUGGGGGUGUAGUGCAGCACCAAGAACAGGCUUCAGAAAUCCUGCAAAUUUGUAAAUUAAGAAAAUUUUCUUAAAAAUUUUCCAUGACCAUGCUGCCAUCCAGAUUAUUAAUAGGGAUAUUGGAACAGUUAUGUGGCAAGUACAAAUCUGUCUGACCAGAAAAGGAUGAACUCAGGGUCGUAGGAAGCCCUUCUAGUAGUGAUAAUUUUUAUUCCAUCCUGUUCUUUUUGUUUGUUUGGCUGUUUAUCAUGCCCAUCCAGACGGAAGGAAUAAACAUCAUGAAAUGCAAUGUGGGUAUAAAGCCUGUCCUUUAAUGCUUUUGGGAAAACGUGCCAAACUUCUCCAAAGAAUAUAGGGUGAGCCAGUAAAUCAGACCUACGGGAGGCCUAUGAAUAAGGCUGCCUCUUUCAAUCUAAAAUUGCUGUCAUGCAUGUUCUGCAUAAAAAAUACAUUUAAAAUGCACAGCUGGAUGUCCAGUCUUGCUCGGUUCCCAAAUGAAGUGUGAUUUAAAACUGAAAGCAGGGCACUACCUGUGCUGUUAUGCUGUAGUAAUGAAGUCCCAGGUGAAUUAUUUUCUAGGGAAUUGCUUGACUUGAAAACCAGUCCUGGCUGGCUCUUUUACCCUCCUCUUAUUCUUUCCUUUUUUAAAAAAUUCACACUAUUUUCUCCUGUUUGCAGCUCUCCUGAGCUGAAACCAUCCUGCGGAGCUGGGGAUCUGCAGUGAUAUGAGAGACAGCAAACAAUAUAAGGAACGCAUAAAGAGGAAUGAAGUACUGUAAUAUAAAUGGCAGGGCCCUGGUGCUGUGUAUUUCAGGAGUAUAGUACUUCUAUGUCAGGGAAAUUUAGACCCUGCCUGCUAUCCUGAUUGUUGUUUGGACUACGAAUACUGUGCUUGUGGGCUUGGUAAAUCAGCUGUGAGCUUUUGCACUGGGAACAGCCUGUGGAAAGCCUUGGCAGCUGUGGUAUAUAAUCAAUACAAAUCCAGUGAAUAAUUCCCGUUAUUGAAUGUGCUUGCCCUAAAUGCAAAGGCAGCAGACAGCGUUGCUAGACUGAUGAAGUCUCUAGGUUUUCUUUUGUUUGGGGUGGCAUGGUUUUGAGGUUUGGGGUUUCUUCAGACACUCUGUGUUGUAAUAGGCCAUCUGUUUCUUGCAGCGAGCCCUGCUGCAACACUUGUGCUGUUCAGGAGAAGAGAAAUCAAGGCACAAGCAAAAGCUCACAGGGGAGGAUGAGCAGAACAGGUCUUUCCUUCAGAAAGGUUCUGCCGACAGAGUGGAAGCAGUCCUACACAAUCAGGACAUCUCUGAGCCGCAGUCAAAUGUUCUUAUUUCAGAAGGCAGUGGUUUGGAGCUGUGGGUCUGUUUGUCGUCCCCUUCUCACUGCAGCCUGCCCCACCACAGAAGGGCUGGCAGAUCAGCUGCAGAAGUGCUCAGGUUAGCUCAUAUGAUCUCUAUUGAUCCCUGGCAGCAGCAGCACUGGGACGCAGCUAGAAGUCACGUCAGCAGCCAGCAGAAAUAGAUCUGGUUCAGCAUGUCUGCCUGUGGCCCUGGCUGCCACUGCGUCCCAUGAGCCCACCCUGACCGGUGUUCUGCUGUCCCACUCCAGCUUGUUCUGAUGAUAUAAAAGAUCACAGUGAAUGCUGAGUGUCUCAGUAACUUACUUCAAUUUUCAUUCACAAUCUUUAGAAAACUGUUCAAAAAGGAUUUAAUGACAACCUUCCAAAAGCCUCGUGCUGGAAUCUUUGAUUGCAGCAAGCACACCACAGGUAUGUUUGCUGUUUGGCACUACACGGUGCUCUGUAGAAGGCUGUGAUGUGAGUAAACCACUUCACGGGGCAGAAGUGCUAUAAGCCUGCUCCUUUUAAAAGGGGAUCUACCCCAAAAGAGGAUAGCUUUCCAUUAGGUAUGAGGAGGAAGUUCUUUACUGUGAGGGCAGCGAGCCCCUGCCACAGGUUGCGCAGAGAAGCUGUGGAUGUCCCAUCCAUGAAGGCGUUCAAGGCCUUUCCUCACAUUUCCAUCCUACAGCAGGAGUUAGGGACUAGUUGAAGUUUAAGGUCCCCUCCAACCCAAACUGUUUCGUGAUUCUAUGAAUUUGAGGUACUUGCUGUUAGGAGUCUGUAACUGGAGUGCACCUUCCAGGUGUAGAACUCUCUCCUUUCUUGGCAUCUUGGUUACAUGGAGAAGGAGGAGGAGUCCUAAUUUUCAUGAGUUGGAGCAGUUUGAACAAUGCAUUAUUGUCCACAUGUUUACACAACACACUGUCAGGAGGCUUUCUGCAUACCCAGUCCCUCCAUACUGGUCAUGCUGCAUGGCACCUGUGUGGCAAAAUGGUUUGGUAAAGCCCUCAAUCAAUGCAGUGCUUUUCUAGAACGUGGAGCUGAUUUCUUUUGAAUCUCCCAAGGAAGAGCCAUUAGGUGGGUCUCAUUCCUUCUGUGUUUAUCUUGGAGCAGGAGUGUGUGGUUAGAGAGCUGUGGUUUAUGCAUGAGGGCCCUAUGUGCUGGGCUUCUUAUCUGCUUGCCCGUCUGCAUUUUUACAUAAUACAUUUAAGGCUGGUUUUGAGUAAUCUCUUUUGGGGUCUCAUUUUGCAUUUGUAUUCUCCAGUAACUAAGAACUGCUGUGCUAUUCCCUCCUGAAAUCCUUUCCAGAAGGUGCACAUUAUCUGCUACAAGGCAGGGCAAUGAAGAGCAUCAAUUUCCACAGCAGAAUAGAAUCCUGGAUUACAAAUUACUAUUUAAUCCUUUUUGCGUC